rnacentral:tRNA from 1 species
GGUUCCGUAGCUUAACUGAAUAGAGCAUCUGACUACGGAUCAGAAGGUUCCGAGUUUGAAUCUCGGCGGAAUCACCA